CCUCAACUGAAAAAAGAUUAAACCGAGAAAAGGAAAAAAAAAAAGGAAGAGAGAUGAUCUACAGAAAUUGGUCGCUGCUGACAUCGACGAUGGUGAUCUGGGGUGGCGUCGGCAGCGUCGCCCUCGCCCAAUUCUUCCUCUUCGGCGGCAAGGAGAAGUUUGAGGGAUAUCUGUGCCGAGAGGGUGAGAGGCUGAGGCAGCAGGAUAGAGCUGUGAUUGCUGCUGAGAACCGAGCGAGGAUGGGUUGAACUUCUUUUUUUGCUUUAAACUGGAAUUCUCAAAGCUUUAUUUGCCGGAAUGAUCUUUGUCGUUUUAAUAAACUUUGCGCUGUAAUAAUCUUGUUGAAACAAUAGUUACAGACAUUUUGCUGUAA